GAUGAACGCUGGCGGCGUGCCUAAUACAUGCAAGUCGAGCGAACAGACGAGGAGCUUGCUCCUCUGACGUUAGCGGCGGACGGGUGAGUAACACGUGGAUAACCUACCUAUAAGACUGGGAUAACUUCGGGAAACCGGAGCUAAUACCGGAUAAUAUAUUGAACCGCAUGGUUCAAUAGUGAAAGACGGUUUUGCUGUCACUUAUAGAUGGAUCCGCGCCGCAUUAGCUAGUUGGUAAGGUAACGGCUUACCAAGGCAACGAUGCGUAGCCGACCUGAGAGGGUGUUCGGCCACACUGUAACUGAGACACGGUCCAGACUCCUACGGGAGGCAGCAGUGGGGAAUCUUCCGCAAUGUGCGAACGCCUGACGGAGCCACGCCGCGUGAGUGAUGACGGUCUUCGGAUCGUAAAACUCUGUUAUUAGGGAAGAACAAAUGUGUAAGUAUCUAUGCACGUCUUGACGGUACCUAAUCAGAAAGCCACGGCUAACUACGUG
rnacentral:rRNA from 1 species